AAAAAAUUUAAUUUUUGUUGGAUAUUUUAGUAUAAAAUUUUUAAUAUAUGCACAUUUUUUAAAAAAUUUUUAUUUUUGCAAUAUUUAAAUUUAAAUAUUAGGUUAUUCUAGAUUUAGUAAUUUUAUUUAGUACUAACAAAAUUUGUGCCAGCAGUUGCGGUUAUACUAAUAGUACAACUAAAAUCUUUUGGAUAUGAUUGAUUUAAAAUUUUUUUAUAUUUAAUAUUUUUGGGUGAAAUUUAAAUAUUAAAUUAUAAUAUAAAUUUUUUUGAAUUCACUAAAUUAAUUAAAAAACUAGGAUUAGAUACCCUAUUAUUAAAACUUAAUUUUAUUACCUUAUGAUUAAUAGUUAUUUUCUUUAAAGUAAAAAAAUUUGGCGGUGUUUUAGUCUUUUCAGAGGAACCUGUUCUGUAAUUGAUGAUCCACGAUUUUAUUAACUUAAUUUUUAAAUUUGCAUAUCGUUGUUUAAAACAUUCUUUUAGGGCAUGUUUAUUUAUUUUUUAAUAAUGUAAUUCAGAUCAAGUUGUAGUUUAUAAUUAAGAAGAAAUGGGUUACAUUGAUAAAAAUUUUGGAUUUUAAAUUUUAUUUUUAGAUGAAAUUGGAUUUGACAGUAAAUUUUUAUAAAUAUAAAUUUUGAUUUAAGCUCUAAAAUAUGUACAUAUCGCCCGUCGCUUUCAUUUAAGUUGAAAUAAGUCGUAACAAAGUAGAUUUACCGGAAGGUGAAUCUAGAGGGCA
rnacentral:ncRNA from 1 species